rnacentral:rRNA from 1 species
ACGUAUUACUUCUACAAUUAAAUUGUACUCAGCUUCAUGUAAGAGAACCUGCUGAAUUUAAACAUAUUAAUAAGCAGUGGAAUUGAAACAAAAAUGGACAUUCUUAGUAAUGGCGAAUGAACUGAACGUUGGCUAAUUCAUAAAUCCAUAUUCUAUGGAUAAUAACUUGUAGUUUAGUUAGUUGUAUAACUCCUGAUUAUAACAAGCGUGAUCAAACAUGAGAUCUUAGAGGGUGAUUUUCCCGUAUUUUAACAAAUCAGGAGUUUUCUCAACUAUAUCUUGAGUAGCGCUCUUUGGUACUAGAGUUCUAAGUGUGUGGUGAUAUUCACAAAAGGCUUAUCACUGGUGGGAGACCUUUAGUUUACAAGUACCGUGAGGGAAAGAUGAAAAGAACUUUGGAGAGGGAGUUAAACAGUAUGCGAAAAUGUUGGUAGAAAGCGAAGCUAGUUAAUAACAUCGCUUUGACAAUUGGUAAUUAUCAUUGGAUUAUACUAUAAUUGUUAGAUAUUUAAUGAUCUUUUUACUGUUCAGAGUGGGGUGUAUAUGUCUUACAUUAACCUGAUCCGACCCGUCUGGAAACACGGACCAAGGAGUCUAGUAUGGGUGCGAGAUUUUGGAAGUACAGUUCCUAGAUUGUAUGUAACCUGAAUCGUGUUUGUCUCAAAUAUAACUGAUAAGUCGCGGAUAGUGUGUUUUCCCUAAUAAGAGCACUUGUGCUGGGACCCGAAAGAUGGUGAACUAUGCUUGUGCAGGGUUAAGUCAGGAGAAAUUCUGUUGGAGGCUCGAAACGAUACUGACGUGCAAAUCGUUCGUUGGAUAUGAGUAUAGGGGCGAAAGACUAAUCGAACUAUCUAGUAGCUGGUUCCCUCCGAAGUUUCCCUCAGGAUAGCUGGAGAUCUUGAUAAGUUACAUGAGGUAAAGCAAAUGAUUAGAGCUCAUGGGAUUGAAACAGUCUCGGUCUAUUCUUAAACUUUAAAUGGGUGUGAAGCGGUACUAUCUUAGUUGUAGUACCGCAUUGAAUGAGAUCUUUUAGUGGGCCACUUUUGGUAAGCAGAACUGGCGAUGUGGGAUGUUCCAGACGGAUAGUUAAGAAGCUAAAAUGUUCGCUUAUUCUGAUACCAUAAAGGGUGUUACUUGAUUUGGACAGCAGGACGAUGGUCAUGGAAGUUGAAACUCGCUAAGGAGUGUGUAACAACUCACCUGCCGAAUCAAUCAGCCCCGAAAAUGGAUGGCGCUCAAGCGAACUUUUGAAACUAAGCUACUGGCAUAACUGAUGUAGAUGGUAGUAAGUAGGUGGGUGAAGCGGUUGCAUUGAAGUUAUAAGUGUAAGCUUUAGUGGAGCAGCGGUUAGUGCAGAUCUUGGUGUUAGUAGCAAAUAUUCAUCCGAGAAUUCUGAAUGCUGAGGUGGAGUAAGGUUCCAUGUCAACAACAGUUGGACAUGGGUUAGCCGGUCCUAAGAUAAACUGUAAUUAUUUUAAAUGGUGGUUUAGACGUCUUUGUCCAAAGGGUGUCAGGUUAAUAUUCUUGAAUUACAUGUUGUGGUGUUGAUACGGUAACGUCAUGAGCCUCGGUUACUGCGGCUGAAGUUCCUAUAGGAGAUCUCUACUCUUAUUGAAAGUACUAAGAUCCUGGAAUAAGUUUGCCUUGAGAUUGGAUUAUAGCACGUUAAAAGCACUGUGUUUUUUGCAGUGUAUGGUACACUUUGGACGUUUCUUAAAAAGCUGUGUCUCUAUUAUUACGAUCACAUUUUAUCCGUAUUGAUUACCGCAUCAGGUCUCUAAGGUCAAAAGCCUCUGGUUAAUAGAAUAAAGUGGGUAAGGGAAGUCGGCAAAAUGGUUCUGUAAGUUUGCGAUAAGGAAUGGCUCAUUAGGUUGGGUUAUAGGGCUCAUGGAAGAAGCUAUCUGGUGUUAGAGACUACUGGUGUUGAUUCAGAGUUAUAAUCGGAAGGUCUGUAAAUUCAUAUGGGUGACAACAUGAGAGUGAUAUUUCUGUAUAGAAGUUGAAUUUCCGUUAACGAUUAACAACUAAUAGUGAACUGGUGCUAACCACAGGAACCCGACUGUUUAAUUAAAACAAAGCAUUGUGAAGUAUCUGACGAUUGUUGAUACAAUGUGAUUUCUGCCCAGUGCUCUGAAUGUCACAGUGAAGAAAUUCAAUCAAGCGCGGGUAAACGGCGGGAGUAACUAUGACUCUCUUAAGGUAGCCAAAUGCCUCGUCAUCUCACUAGUGACGCGCAUGAAUGGAUCAACGAGGUUCCUUCUGUCCCUAUCUACUAUCUAGCGAAACCACAGCCAAGGGAACGGGCUUGGAUGUAAUGGCGGGGAAAGAAGACCCUGUUGAGCUUGACUCUAGUCUGACAUUGUGAAGUGGUAUCGGCGGUGUAGGAUAGGUGGGAGUCUUUAAGCAACAGUGAAAUACCACUACGUCGAUCGCCGCUUUACUUAUAUAAUUGUAAUGGAGCUACUCCAUUGAGUAUUGUUCUGGGUUUAAACUUUUCGAAGUGAUUGAUUUAUAAACAUUGUCAGGUGGGGAGUUUGGCUGGGGCGGCACAUCUGUUAAACGAUAACACAGGUGACCUAAGAUCAGUUCAAUGCGAACGGAAAUCGCAUGUGGAGUUUAAGGGCAAAAGCUGAUUUGACUUUGAUUUUCAGUAUGUGUCAGA